rnacentral:lncRNA from 1 species
GGUUCUCUUUAACCACAUGGUGAAGUCAUUAAGCAUUAUGUGAGUUAUCUGAUAUAUAUUAAAGAAUGUGAUAUAACAUUAUAACUUUGGUAUGUGAUUGUUAAUGGGUUUGAGUAUUUAGGAGUCGUUCCUUAAUGAACUGAUUAGACUUAAAAUUUGGUGAUGCAUUGGAAAUAAAAAUGAUGAAUAUUUAGAAUUUAUUAUAAGAGAGUUUUGUUACGAAGAGUGAUUAGUUACAAGGG